rnacentral:rRNA from 1 species
UACGGAGGAUCCAAGCGUUAUCCGGAUUUAUUGGGUUUAAAGGGUGCGUAGGCGGAUUGAUAAGUUAGAGGUGAAAUGUCCGAGCUCAACUCGGGAACUGCCUCUGAUACUGUUGAUCUAGAGAGUAGAUGCGGUAGGCGGAAUGUAUGGUGUAGCGGUGAAAUGCUUAGAGAUCAUACAGAACACCGAUUGCGAAGGCAGCUUACCAAUCUAUAUCUGACGUUGAGGCACGAAAGCGUGGGGAGCAAACAGG